UACGUAGGGUGCGAGCGUUAAUCGGAAUUACUGGGCGUAAAGCGUGCGCAGGCGGUCUGUUAAGACCGAUGUGAAAUCCCCGGGCUUAACCUGGGAACUGCAUUGGUGACUGGCAGGCUUUGAGUGUGGCAGAGGAGACUGGAAUUCCCGGUGUAGCGGUGAAAUGUGUAGAGAUCGGGAGGAACACCGGUGGCGAAGGCGGGUCUCUGGGCAAUUCCUGACGCUGAGGAGCGAAAGCCAGGGGAGCAAACGGG
rnacentral:rRNA from 1 species